rnacentral:sRNA from 1 species
GCUGGACGUAAAGAAAGAAGUGAUGCACUCAAUUCUGCAAUAGAUAAAAUGACCAAGAAGACCAGGGACUUGCGUAGACAGCUCCGCAAAGCUGUCAUGGACCACGUUUCAGAUUCUUUCCUGGAAACCAAUGUUCCACUUUUGGUAUUGAUUGAAGCUGCAAAGAAUGGAAAUGAGAAAGAAGUUAAGGAGUAUGCCCAAGUUUUCCGUGAACAUGCCAACAAAUUGAUUGAGGUUGCCAACUUGGCCUGUUCCAUCUCAAAUAAUGAAGAAGGUGUAAAGCUUGUUCGAAUGUCUGCAAGCCAGUUAGAAGCCCUCUGUCCUCAGGUUAUUAAUGCUGCAUUGGCUUUAGCAGCAAAACCACAGAGUAAACUGGCCCAAGAGAACAUGGAUCUUUUUAAAGA